rnacentral:rRNA from 1 species
UGCAGUCGUACGAGAGUUUUUACUCUAGUGGCGGACGGGUGAGUAACACGUAAGAAUUUGCCUUUAGGAGGGGGAUAAGCUGGAGACAGUAAGUAAUACCCCAUAUGCUUUCGAGUGAAAUGAAUUGUUUCGCCUAGAGAGAAGCUUGCGGCUGAUUAGCUUGUUGGUAGGGUAAUGGCCUACCAAGGCGACGAUCAGUAUCUGGUUUGAGAGGACGAUCAGACACACUGGAACUGAGACACGGUCCAGACUCCUACGGGAGGCAGCAGUGGGGAAUUUUCCGCAAUGGGCGAAAGCCUGACGGAGCAAUACCGCGUGAGGGAGGAAGGCUCUUGGGUUGUAAACCUCUUUUCUCAGGGAAGAAGCUCUGACGGUACCUGAGGAAUCAGCCUCGGCUAACUCCGUGCCAGCAGCCGCGGUAAUACG